rfam:Myotis brandtii contig312763, whole genome shotgun sequence.
GGCAGUUCUCGGGUGACGCACCCUGGAAUCGGGCUCCCUCUUCUCGGGUUCCAGGUGCAUCACCUGAGAACCACA